GACGAACGCUGGCGGCGUGCCUAAUACAUGCAAGUCGAACGCAUUUUCUUUCACCGUAGCUUGCUACACCGAAAGAAAAUGAGUGGCGAACGGGUGAGUAACACGUGGGUAACCUGCCCAUCAGCGGGGGAUAACACUUGGAAACAGGUGCUAAUACCGCAUAAUUCCAUUUACCGCAUGGUAGAUGGAUGAAAGGCGCUUUUGCGUCACUGAUGGAUGGACCCGCGGUGCAUUAGCUAGUUGGUGGGGUAACGGCCUACCAAGGCUGCGAUGCAUAGCCGACCUGAGAGGGUGAUCGGCCACACUGGGACUGAGACACGGCCCAGACUCCUACGGGAGGCAGCAGUAGGGAAUCUUCGGCAAUGGACACAAGUCUGACCGAGCAACGCCGCGUGAGGGAAGAAGGUUUUCGGAUCGUAAAACUCUGUUGUUAGAGAAGAACAAGGAUGAGAGUGGAAAGUUCAUCCCUUGACGGUAGCUAACCAGAAAGCCACGGCUAACUACGUG
rnacentral:rRNA from 1 species